rnacentral:lncRNA from 1 species
CUCUUCAAGUGGCCUGGGAGCGCGCGCAUGCGCGCUGCUGGGAACCGGCCGGGGUGCCGGGUCGAAAGACAGACGCGCGGGCCGGGCGUGCGCGGGCUUGGUGGAGGGCGGGAAGGCUGAAGGGCGGUGACAGGUCGCACUGCCUCGCGAGGGCCAGAACGCCCAUUUCUGCAGAGGUGCACUCAGUGGCGUGGGAAAUCAAAUGCAUCCGGUUAUCCCAGUUCGGCCUCUCUGGGAUUCCGCGGGAGGGGGUGUCUGGUCUGGUUUGGUUUGGUUUGGUUUGGUUUGGUUUGGUCCGGUUCAAAGUAGCGCAGUCUGACUGAGCGGGAGGUGGAGUGGAAGGCGAGAAUAGGGGUGAAGGAUUAGACAGAAGAAGACUUUGAACUAGGAACAGUGGCAACCAGGGUGACCCAGGCUUUUGUGACCCGUAGAGGCAGAAGGUGAGGCGUCUACGCCCUCUCUCACCAGAUUUUGGGCGGCCCUGUGGAGACACCCUGUGCCCUUUAAGGGACAUGGAUUGAGUCGGGAUCUCAAAAUGUGAGCCUUUCCUCAGACCCAGCUUUGACCCACGUACUCGCCUUUCCUCAACUCAUUUUCAUACUUUCACUUGACUAUAUAUUUUUUAAAAAUUGUGUUAAGCACUUGAGGUUCAUUUCUGCCCCUACUGUAUGUGCACCCUGUGCCAGAGGGUGGGGUGAACACGUGUGUAGCAGUCAUGCGUCCUGUCCACAGGGGCCGAUGCACCUCCUUGCAACCCUUUACAUUCCACUGUGAAACAAACCUCAACUUUUUCUUAUUCCUGUUUUUACACCGUGCUUAUAGCUGCCUUAAUCCAUGUUCCCUUCGGGAUGCUGGUAUCCAACUGAGAAGUUGACGGAGCAUCUAUCGUGUGCCAGACACUGUGCUAAGUGCUAACGAGAAAUCGGUGAGCAAAACAGAAAAGAAAAAAAAAGAAGAAACGACUGCCAGCAUUGAACUUAGUACCUAGCAAAGUAGGUGGACAUAAAUCAAAUUGUCAGACAAGUAAAUGAGUAGUUGCAGCUGUGAUAAGGGGUAUGAAGAAUAGGCGCUUCCAUGAUGGCGGAACAUGACCUAGUCUGGGGUGGAGAAGGGGAGAUGAUUCCAGCUGGAAUAUGGCAGGUGAGAGUUAACUAAUAGCACUGAGUUGGCAGAGGCAGGAUGACCUGCCCCAGGCAGGUGCCCCAGAAUGAGAGGAUGUUGCUGCUGGUGGAACUCCAGCUUUAAAGCGGUGGAUCUAGGGCCACAUUCCUCAAGGCCAUAGCAAACAGGAAAGACCUUUUGGACUAGGGUCUUUGGAGUAGUCACAUGAGGCCAAGAACCCAAUAGGGCUGAAAGAGAAUCUCAUCAUAGGCUGAAUGGGAGCAGAGCAUUAGCUGCAACUCCAAUGUAUUAUAGUAAAAGGGGACACAUUGAUUAGAAUGAUUAUACCCCUCCAAGUGUAAGCUGUUGUUCAAUUUACCCAGGGCUUAAAAAUAUGUCAACUCUUCACAACCAUUUUUACUACAAGCCACACUCAACCUGUGUUGUUCCCUGAACCUGUGAUGCACUUUCAUCCGUUCAUGUCUCUACACAUCCUUCCUGGGCCCCAUAGAGGCCCUGCACCUUAAGGUUUUCAGCUGGAUUCCUAUUAGCUAGUUAUUUUAUCUCAGGUACAGAGAGUUAACUUUGCUCCUCAAUUUUCAGCACAUUGUCAUAUCAGUCCCUACAGGGUCCUUGUUUACAUUAUUUUAUAGUGUUUAUAUUAUUUUUUCCUCAUCUUUCUCGAUCCCCACUCUCAUUCUUCUAGACACAAGCUGCAAUAUGUUCGAUAGAGAUCCUUGAUAAUUUAACACAGAUAAUGUUUUGUUUAUGCCUCUUGCAUUUACAGAGAUGGUAUUGGACUGUAAAUCUCUAUUUCCCACUGUUUUACUCAACAGUCUGUUUUUGAGCUAUACCCACAUUGCUGUGUGUACACCUAGUUUGCUACCGAGUAUGCCAGAAAUUUUAUUCAUACAUAUCCCUACUGAUCGGGCAUCUAGGUUACUGCCAACUCCCUGAAGUCAUACUGUGGUGAAAACCCUUGUGAAUGUCUUUACAAACCUUUGCCAGAACUUAUUUUGUGCUCUUGUAGAACUUUGUGCAUACCCUCUGCUUCCUCAUUACACUGCUUGGCAUAUAGCAGAGACUCAACAAAUGUUGAAUACCUCUACUAUGAUGGUUAGUGUACUAGAAUAAUUUAUUUAUAUUUCUGUUUUCCUUAUUGGAUUAUUAGUACCUUCCAGACAGGGCAAAUGUCUUUUCUAUCUUUGUGUCCCUGGCACAUUAAAAGUGGUUGAUUUCAAGGUAUGUUCAAUGAAUGAAUAAAUACUUAUCUUCACUGCCAGUACA